rnacentral:rRNA from 1 species
AGUGAACGCUGGCGGUAGGCCCAACACAUGCAAGUCGAACGGCAGCACAGUAAGAGCUUGCUCUUACGGGUGGCGAGUGGCGGACGGGUGAGGAAUACAUCGGAAUCUACUUUUUCGUGGGGGAUAACGUAGGGAAACUUACGCUAAUACCGCAUACGACCUACGGGUGAAAGCAGGGGAUCUUCGGACCUUGCGCGAUUGAAUGAGCCGAUGUCGGAUUAGCUAGUUGGCGGGGUAAAGGCCCACCAAGGCGACGAUCCGUAGCUGGUCUGAGAGGAUGAUCAGCCACACUGGAACUGAGACACAGUCCAGACUCCUACGGGAGGCAGCAGUGGGGAAUAUUGGACAAUGGGCGCAAGCCUGAUCCAGCCAUACCGCGUGGGUGAAGAAGGCCUUCGGGUUGUAAAGCCCUUUUGUUGGGAAAGAAAAGCAGCAGGUUAAUACCCCGCUGUUCUGACGGUACCCAAAGAAUAAGCACCGGCUAACUUCGUG